rnacentral:rRNA from 1 species
CGCGUAGGCGGCCUGUUAAGUCUGGAGUGAAAGUCCUGCUUUCAAGGUGGGAAUUGCUUUGGAUACUGGCGGGCUGGAGUGCAGGAGAGGUUAGUGGAAUUCCCGGUGUAGCGGUGAAAUGCGUAGAGAUCGGGAGGAACACCAGUGGCGAAGGCGACUAACUGGACUGUAACUGACGCUGAGGCGCGAAAGUGUGGGGAGCAAACA